rnacentral:snoRNA from 1 species
AACCCGCGAUGACGAGUAAUGACGCUGGCUUCUGAGAGUGAAACAGGUUGCGAUCGUAGCCACUUGCGUGGUAUCUGCUCGUAGCCAUUGAGGACCGUUUCCGGUGUUCCCUUGUGGCACACUGGAAGGAAACCGGCGUUUUCAGAGCGGU